rnacentral:lncRNA from 1 species
AUGGCUUAUCCAGUUCAAUUAGGCCUUCAAGACACCACAUCCCCUAUUAUAGAAGAACUACUCACUUUCCAUGACCAUGCUCUUAUAAUUAUUUUCCUAAUUAGUUCCCUGGUCCUAGACAUCAUUUCCCUAAUACUCACAACAAAAUUAACUCAUACUGGCACCAUAGAUGCUCAAGAAAUCGAAACUGUGUGAACUGUUUUACCUGCCAUUAUCUUAAUUUUAAUUGCCCUCCCAUCCCUACGUAUUGUGCACAUAAUAGACAAGGUUAACAAUCCUUCUCUUACUGUCAAAGCAGUUGGCCACCAGUGAUAUUGAAGCUCUAAAUAUACAGACUAUGAAGAGUUAGGCUUUGAUUCUUAUAUGAUUCCAACAGCAGACUUAAAGCCAGAACUUCGACUCCUUGAAGUUGAUAACUGAACAAUUCUCCCAACAGAGAUCCCUGUCCAUAUAUUAAUCUCAUCCGAAGACAUCCUGCAUUCAUGAACUAUCCCCUUACUGGGCCUCAAAACAGAUGGAAUCCCCGGACGCUUAAAUUAAACUACCUUAACUGCUACAUGUCCAGGCCUUUACUAUGGACAGUGCUCAGAAAUUUGUGGGUCUAACCACAGUUUUAUACUUAUUGUCCUAGAAUUAACCCCCUUAAAAUGCUUUGAAACCUGAUCCACGUCUGCACU